UGAAUGUAUUUUCUAGUAGUUUCAGUUACAUAGUUGGAAAUAUGUUCUGAAAUUACCACAAAAUCACCUAAUUCGGCUGACCUAUUGUUUGAACCAAUAGAUUAAAUGCAUGGUUACUCGAGGAACGAAAGAAGAUGUGCUAUGAAGGUGGAAGUGAAAAACAAAGUUCGUCUUGUAAGAUCGAUGACGUUGAGCUGUGUUACAUUCUGUAUUGAAACAGUAACAGAGCGACCAUACUUAAGGUUCGCGAGGAAUAUGUUCCCAUAUGCAUGGAGAUUGAUCUGCAUGGAUUAUUAGGCCCUUAAUGAUGGAACACCUGAUGUGAGGAAUGCAGCUUUCUCAGCUUUGGCGGCUAUUUCCAAGAUGGUUGGCAUGAGACCUUUGGAAAAGUCUCCAGAAAAAUCUGGAUGAUGUCAGACAAAAGAAGUAUCUGAAAUGAUUGGGGGUCGACAGGGGAACCUUAUGCUCUUCCAAACUCAGGUGUGGUUCAAUCUUCUCGAGGAGUUAUGACAACGAGGUUGUGAAGAAUUUUGGCUUCAAGAUCUUGUAAAUAUGUCCGGAAUACUAUGAUGUAGGCUUUUCAGAACAAGAGGCUUGAUUAUGCAGUUAAGGAGAGUACUCUUGUAGUCUCAUCACGGAACUGUUGCUAUGGCUUUUGGAUAAUAGAGAUCCGCAGAUGGAUGAUGGAAGUCAACUUUUGUGAGCUUUGAAUGUUCUGAUGUUAAUGAUUCUGGUAACUAUCACUAUAAACUUAUGAGGCAAGCAUGGCUAGUUUUUCUCCUCUCCUUGUGAAUAUAAUUGCCGAUGUGUGGCCGGAUUGCACGUGCAUUAUAACGCAGAACGUACAUCAUUUGCUGUGCUUAUAAAUUUGUUAAGACUUCUGGAUCCAUCAAGAUGGCCAUCUCCAGCUUCAAAUGAGUCUCUUGCAAUCAGAAACCAGAAGUUCUCUGAUUUGGUUGUUAAAUGUUUGAUCAAGAUUACAAAGAUAUUAUAUCUUGAUCUAUUUUAUCUUGUUUUUUUUCUUUUAAUAAUAUAGUGUUCUUAUUAUAUUGAUGUUGUGAAUCUUCCUUUUGUAAGAAUGUUAUGUUGCAUAGUUUGAUGAUCACUCUGACGGCAGUGUUUGAGAGUAUUUGCAUAGUGUUCUUCUGGUAAGAAUGUUAUUGACAACUAUGUUCUUCUGGUCUAGUGUUUCAAUAAUUUAUGCUUAUGCAACUGGUGUAUAUGCUGAUCUUCUCUGCUAUACUUGUUAUUUGACGUACUCAGCAACUUGUAUAAAAUAAAUUUUCUUAUGAUCGAGAUCAUUAUAUGUUGCAUUUUCAUUCGUCAGGUCUAGAACAAGGAGCUCGAACUAGAAGUUGUUUCUAAGGCUGUGGGAUGUGUAUUCUGAAGUACUUGUUUGGCAUUUGAACAAUGUUUCUGGACAAUGUUAUCAAGUCACCACGUAGCCUAGGAACGAGGCAAUUCAAUGCCGUCUCUUACGUUUGCAGAAUCUGUCCACCCCUUAGCCUAGCCCAGUUAUAGGUUUUCUGUGAACUGCAAUUUUAUGUGCAACACUGUGUCUGACCCAAGUCCAAACUAUCUUAAGCUAUAAUAAAUUGAUAUUGUCUUGCUGUUGAUAUUGCUAUUAUACCUUCGCGUGGUUUUACCUUCGUGACUUUAAUUUAUGGCUGUCUUUUACGAGUCUAAGAUAUAUUUCCUAUCAGAACCUUAGGAGAUAUCCGAGUAUGAUGACCUUGUCGAUCCAGUUGAUAUAUUGAAGCCUUUGGAGAAGUCUGGAUUUUGGGAAGGGGUGUUUCAAAAUGGUGUGAGAGGAAAGAGGCUGUUGCUGAACUAACCGAACUUACAUCAACAAAAAAGAUUGCUCAUGGAGAUUUUUCAGAAGUUUGUCGAAUAUUAAAGAACGGCAUUCUUUCAGAAGGCAUAUGCGUGAGUGUGCAUUGUGCACCUUAGAUAAUU